GGGCAUAUUGAUUCAUUCUUAAGUUCAAUUCACAUCAAAACAUUGAAAACAUUAAUCAAAUAUCAAACACACAUUCACAUUAACUAUAUGGAAUACAUAUAGUAACUUAACAAGCCAUUUUCGCAUGGCUAUACAUAUAUACAUCAUCAAAACGAUACUUAUUUAACAACAAAAAGACAAGCCUAUACAUGCCAUUAUCGAAGUUUAACUACUAGUGUACUGAAUGGGCUUAGAUAGUGUGGACGACUUCGACUUUGGGAUCCCCGAGACCGUAGCUAACGAACAAGAUCUAUAAAACAGAGGAUUAAAGCAACAUAGUAAGCAUUUCUAUGCAUAGUAAGUUUUAAGUAAUGAAAUCAUUAAAAAUUGAGGCAUAGCAUUCAUAAUGCUUAUCAUUUUUUCUUUGACCUAACAUAAACAUGUCUAAAUAUACUACUAUUGUU
rnacentral:lncRNA from 1 species